AGCUCCAAUAGCGUAUAUUAAAGUUGUUGCAGUUAAAAAGCUCGUAGUUGGAUUUCGGAAUGGGCCAGUUGGUCCGCCGCAAGGUGAGUUACUGACUGGUUUGUUCUUCUUCGCAAAGACUGCGUGUGCUCUUUACUGAGUGUACGUAGGAUUUACGACGUUUACUUUGAAAAAAGUAGAGUGUUCAAAGCAGGCUAUCGCUUGAAUACAUGAGCAUGGAAUAAUGGAAUAGGACUUUGGUUCUAUUUUGUUGGUUUCUAGGACCGAAGUAAUGAUUAAGAGGGUCAAUUGGGGGCAUCCGUAUUUCGUUGUCAGAGGUGAAAUUCUUGGAUUUACGAAAGACGAACAACUGCGAAAGCACUUUCCAAGAGUGUUUGCA
rnacentral:rRNA from 1 species